rnacentral:rRNA from 1 species
GACAGAGGUGCCAAGCGUUAGGCGGAAUCACUGGGCUUAAAGCGUGUGUAGGCGGAAUUGUAAGUACCUUGUGAAAUCCCACGGCUCAACCGUGGAACUGCUCGGUAUACUGCUUUUCUUGAGCCACUUAGGGGCUGUCGGAACAAACGGUGGAGCGGUGAAAUGCGUAGAUAUCGGGAGGAAUACCGAUGGCGAAGGCAGGUCUCUGGGCUGACACUGACGCUCAUGCACGAAAGCGUGGGGAGCAAACAGG